AGGCCACGUGAAACGACGUUUCUUCAAGACAUGCACAUCCGCAUCAUUCAUCUCCGGAGUCGGUUUGUAAACGCGUCAAAAACGCCACCGACAAACCUACGGAAGACAUAACAACAGAAUAUCUGCUCAAACAGUUCGUAACCGAUUGCGUCAAGUUGGUCUAAGAGCUCGUCGUCCAUUGAAGAAACCUAUCCUUACGCAGCGUCACAGGAU
rnacentral:lncRNA from 1 species